rnacentral:rRNA from 1 species
AUUGAACGCUGGCGGCAUGCUUUACACAUGCAAGUCGAACGGUAACAGGCCGCAAGGUGCUGACGAGUGGCGAACGGGUGAGUAAUGCAUCGGAAAGUGCCCAGUCGUGGGGGAUAACGCAGCGAAAGCUGCGCUAAUACCGCAUACGAUAUAUGGAUGAAAGCGGGGGACCGUAAGGCAUCGCGCGAUUGGAGCGGCCGAUGUCAGAUUAGGUAGUUGGUGGGGUAAAGGCUCACCAAGCCAACGAUCUGUAGCUGGUCUGAGAGGACGACCAGCCACACUGGGACUGAGACACGGCCCAGACUCCUACGGGAGGCAGCAGUGGGGAAUUUUGGACAAUGGGCGCAAGCCUGAUCCAGCAAUGCCGCGUGCAGGAAGAAGGCCUUCGGGUUGUAAACUGCUUUUGUACGGAACGAAACGGUCCUGGUUAAUACCCGGGGCUAAUGACGGUACCGUAAGAAUAAGCACCGGCUAACUACGUGCCAGCCGCCGCGGUAA